rnacentral:rRNA from 1 species
UACGUAGGGGGCAAGCGUUGUCCGGAAUCAUUGGGCGUAAAGCGCGUGUAGGCGGCCCGGUAAGUCCGCUGUAAAAGUCCAGGGCUCAACCCUGGAAGGCCGGUGGAUACUGUCGGGCUCGAGUCCGGAAGAGGCGAGUGGAAUUCCUGGUGUAGCGGUGAAAUGCGCAGAUAUCAGGAGGAACACCAAUGGCGAAGGCAGCUCGCUGGGACGGUACUGACGCUGAGACGCGAAAGCGUGGGGAGCAAACAGG